rnacentral:lncRNA from 1 species
UCCAACUCCCAGCUCCGAAGGCACUCCUUCCCGCCCCGCCCUCUGGGUCAAGUUCUCCAGUCCCAGCGAUUGCAACACAGCCUCGGUAAAACUGCUGGUACCUAAAGGAACUGUAAGAAAGGGACUGCAGAGUAAGGAGGGGUAGUUGACAGUACUAGUCCCUGAGCUUCCAGACCCUAAAGUUGAUGGACCCAGGAAUGAGUCUCACUGUAAAGGAAGUCCUUUAUAAAGAAAACGAUGACGAGGUUAAAGGAGAAACUCCUGGUGUCGGGAGCCUUGGCCACACUGGGCUUUCUCCUUUUCCUUCUUCCCGGAGGCAGGGGCUCCAGGGCUGUGUUCUCUUCAGAUCGACUCUCCGGAAGUUCUGCUCGUCAUCCCCACCAGCCACUGAAGAAGGCAGGUCCCGUGGGGACAGGGGUUCUUCCUGGCUGCUGGGAAGGAGGUCUCCUGAAAUCCAGCUCAGCUCCGUGUCCAGCUCUAAGCUGCUUCUGGUCUCUGGAGGGUCCUUGGCCCAGCUGGGUUCCAGGCCUGGGCAAGGGGCUGGCAGGCGGAUGUGCUUGGAGACUUUGCUCUGGAUGCCGGAACGCUGCUGCACCUGGAUGCUCGACCCGCCCCAGAAGGAUGAGGACCGGGUCAGAGGGCAGGAGGGCCCACUCACCUCUGACAACAGGUCUUCCCGGCUACCCAGGCCCUGCACAUCCAGGGAGUCAGUCCUUAUUGCUGCCUGUAGGGAGUGGAAGCAGGGCUCAGCCCAGGGAUUUCCUUUCCAACGUGGAUUCUCUUUUAUCCUUUCUGUCAUGUCGCUGUGCCUAAUCCCCACAAAGCUGCAGGACCGCCCUAUUAGCUUCUCUUAUUGAGAGAAGGGGGGUAUAAGCCCUCUGAGCUCUGUGGACCACCCUUCAACCACCAAAUUUUUCUUCUAUCCUCCUGCUCCAUUUCCCUAAAUCUGCAGGAGGAACUCUGUGCAGUCUUUGGGCCCUGGGGCACCAGAAAGAACUCAUACAUACCAGCUCUGUUUCCCAAACUGGCCCCUUUGUGCCUCUAGCCUUUAGGGAGAGAGAGCAAGGCAGCAAGCAAGUCCCUUGGCUUUGAAUACCCUUCCUGACGACAAGUAUCCCUGGUUCUGCUGAACAUGGGUUUUCUGUGAUGAGCACAUGGCAGUCCACUUCAAGGAAAACCAACCCUUGUCUCCUCUGCGCUCACACAACUCACACAAGCACCACGCAGCUAUAACCUGGGGCUGCAGUGAUCUGGUGGCAUGUGUGUCCACUGAGCUCAGAGAGCAGGGACUGUGUCCCAGUGCCUAGCAGCAGGAAGUGGCUGAAGGAAGAGGGAUCUUGCCUGCUCCCCAAGAACAUGAUGCUGACAGAUAUUCCUCUAUCUGUGAUCAGGAGACCCAGACAUCAACGCAAGGCACACAAGCCUCACUUGGCUCCAUUAGUCUCUGUCUGGUUCAUGGAUGGUGGACCUCAGGAUUGCUCGGAAAUAAAGACACUUAGAUCCUG